rnacentral:rRNA from 1 species
GACGAACGCUGGCGGCGUGCUUAACACAUGCAAGUCGAACGGAAAGGCCCAGCUUGCUGGGUGCUCGAGUGGCGAACGGGUGAGUAACACGUGGGUGAUCUGCCUCUAACUUCGGGAUAAGCUUGGGAAGCUGGGUCUAAUACCGGAUAGGACAAUCGUUUAGUGUCGGUUGUGGAAAGUUUUUUCGGUUAGGGAUGAGCCCGCGGCCUAUCAGCUUGUUGGUGGGGUAAUGGCCUACCAAGGCGUCGACGGGUAGCCGGCCUGAGAGGGUGGACGGCCACAUUGGGACUGAGAUACGGCCCAGACUCCUACGGGAGGCAGCAGUGGGGAAUAUUGCACAAUGGGCGCAAGCCUGAUGCAGCGACGCCGCGUGGGGGAUGACGGCCUUCGGGUUGUAAACCUCUUUCGACAGGGACGAAGCUUUGGUGACGGUACCUGUAUAAGAAGCACCGGCUAACUACGUG